rnacentral:rRNA from 1 species
AGGGGGAUAAAUUAAAGAUAAGGAAAAUAAUAAUAAAAAAAAUUUUAAAAAAAAAUAUUUUAAUGGGGGUUAAAGUAUUUUUAAUAGAAAAAAUUUUUAUGUUUAUAGUUAAAUAGUAUUGUAAAAGAAUUAUGAAAUAAAUGAAAAUGAAUUUUUAAAAAAGUAAAUUUAAUUUAUUGUAUCUUGUGUAUCAGAGUUUAUUAAAAAUUUUUUAUGGGGUUAAAUUUCUCGAAUUUAAAAGAGCUAAUUAAUUAAUAAAGUUAUUAUUGCAUAAAUAUUUUAAAUAAUUAAUUUGAAAUGAAAUGUUAAUCGUUUUUGAAUAUAUCUAGUUUUUUUAGAAAAAAAUUUAAUUUUUAAUUUUAUUAAAGAAAUUUUUAAUUAAUUAAAAAUUUCUUUAAUAAAAUUAAAUAAUUUAAGGGAUAAGCUUUAAAUUAAAGUUUUAUAAUUAAAUUGAAUAAAAAUAUUUAAAAAUUUUAUAAUUUAAAUUGUUAAUAAAUUUUAUUUUAUUAUAAAUAAUUUUAAAUAAAUUAAAAUUUAAAAUUUAAUUUAAUUUUUUAUAAAAAAAUUUAUAUUAAUAAUAAAUAUAAGGAAAUUAUGAUAAAAUUAGUAAAUAAAAUAAAAAUUUUAGAUAAAAAUUAAAAUUAAUUAAUUUUAAGGAAUUCGGCAAAAAUUUAUAUUCACUUGUUUAUCAAAAACAUGUCUUUUUGUGAAUAAUUUAAAGUCUAAUCUGCCCACUGAUAAUUUAUUAAAGGGCUGCAGUAUUUUGACUGUACAAAGGUAGCAUAAUCAUUAGUCUCUUAAUUGGUGACUUGUAUGAAGGAUUGAAUGAGAUAUAAACUGUCUUAAAGUUAAAAUAAAUUGAAUUUAAUUUUUUAAUUAAAAAGUUAAAAUAAAUUAAAAAGACGAGAAGACCCUAUAGAGUUUUAUAUUAAUUUAAAUUUAAUUUAUUUAUAAAUUUAAUAAGUAUAAAUUUAUUUUAUUAUUUUGUUGGGGUGAUAAAAAAAUAAAAAAAACUUUUUUUAAAAAUAUACAUAAAUAAGUGAUUUUUUGAUCCAAUUUUAUUGAUUAUAAGAAAAAAUUACCUUAGGGAUAACAGCGUAAUUUUUUUUUUUAGUUCUUAUAAGAAGGAAAGUUUGCGACCUCGAUGUUGGAUUAAGAUAAAAUUUAAAUGCAAAAGUUUAAAAUUUUGAUCUGUUCGAUCAUUAAAAUCUUACAUGAUCUGAGUUCAAACCGGUGUGAGCCAGGUUGGUUUCUAUCUUUUAUCAAGAAUAAUAUUUUAGUACGAAAGGAUUGAAUAUUGUAAUUAAAUUAAUUAUAAUGAAUUUUAUUAAUUUAGAUAAUAAAAGAAAAUUAAAAGUUAAUUA